UAGCGUAUAUUAAAGUUGUUGCAGUUAAAAAGCUCGUAGUUGGAUUUCUGGUCUGAGCGUCCGGUCCGCCGCUGUGCGGUGUGUACUUGGUUCGACUCGGACCUUCCUUGUAGGGAAUGUUUCUGGCAUUAAUUUGUCGGGGGCGGGAACUGCAUCGUUUACUGUGAAAAAAUUAGAGUGUUUAAAGCAGGCAUUUGCUGUGAAUACAUUAGCAUGGAAUAAUAAGAUAGGACUUUGGUUCUAUUUUGUUGGUUGGAGGCCAAGGUAAUGAUUAAUAGGGAUAGUUGGGGGUAUUCAUAUUUAAUUGUCAGAGGUGAAAUUCUUGGAUUUAUGAAAGAUGAACUUAUGCGAAAGCAUUUACCAAGGAUGUUUUCAUUAAUCAAGAACGAAAGUUAGGGGAUCGAAGAGGAUUAGAUACCCUCGUAGUCUUAACCAUAAACUAUGCCGACUUGGGAUUGGAGGGUGUAUAUUUAUGACCCCUUCAGCACCAUAUGAGAAAUCAAAGUCUUUGGGUUCCGGGGGGAGUAUGGUCGCAAGGCUGAAACUUAAA
rnacentral:rRNA from 1 species